GGAUGCCGAGAGGACGGCAUCGGAUAUCCCGUUUACUCCAUUUACACGUUAAACAUUUAUAUUUUGAUAAAAGUUAUGCAUCGACAUGGCGAGAAAACUGAGGCACAGAGAAGUGAGGAACGUGUCUAAGGUCACAUAACUUCAUGGUAGAGCCUGGAUUCAAACCCAGGCAGUCUACUCCAGAGGCCAAGUUCAGCCUAAGUGUCCUUCCGUGGCGUGUCCUUCCGUUACCUAGAGGCGAACACGGUAUGACUUCGUGCCCUUGCCCAAACUAUUCCUACCAAGUAAUCAAAGUGAAGUCCUGAGCAGCUUACCAACAUGCUGGCAGAUGAUAGCAGACUGAAGACACAUUUUGAACUCAAGCAUUAUUCUUGGAGGAAGACCUUUUAAUAGACACCAGUAUGAGAAAAGGGCUGCUGGGUAAAGGUGUUGCAGUGAUCUCUGUGGACCGUGGACACUGUAGAUGUAACAAAAAUGAUGGAAGAUAGGAAAACAAUCAUUUUCCUCCUACAGAAGCAUCUCCAAGGUAUGCAAGUCUCAGCAACCAUGAAGAAUCUGUCAAGUGAUCGGACAACAGAAACACGGAGACCAUAAGAACUUAGAGUUCAAAAGGCAUGGCCCCCUCCAAAAAAUCAAAACCACCUUGGAAUUUUACCUUGGUCUGCCACCUCGUUUCCGCCCAUGCUUAAGUGUACUGCUCUGAGCACCCCUUUUCUUGAAGAAAGUUCAGGCAGCUGAGCUCUAACACAAUCGGUGAGCUGUCCUGUCCAGUUCAUGUCUCCCUAAGCAAUCAGAGCAGUAGGCUGGCCGAGGUGUGCCUCAAGAAUAUGCUGCUUUUCCACACUUCACCUGUGCUACAUUACAGCCUCUGUGAUUUUUCAGAA